UUAAGACCUUUGUGUAUGUCUAAUGUUGCCUUUUCUUUUUUUCUAGCAGGGCGCGACGCAGAUUGAGGAAUUCCAGGUAUGUUUUCUGUUAAGACCUUUGUGUAUGUCUAAUUUCGCCUUUUCUUUUUUUCUAGCAGGGCGUGACGCAGAUUGAGGAUUUUCAGGUAUGUUUUCUGUUAAGACCUUUGUGUAUGUCUAAUGUUGCCUUUUCUUUUUUUCUAGCAGGGCGCGACACAGAUUGAGGAUUUAGGUAUGUUUUCUGUUAAGACCUUUGUGUAUGUCUAAUGGUUCCUUUUUUUUUCCUUUAGGUCGUGUGGACUUUUUUUUUUGCAGGGCGCGACGCAGAUUGAGGAUUUUCAGGUAUGUUUUCUGUUAAGACCUUUGUGUAUGUCUAAUGUUGUCCUUUUCUUUUUUUCUAGCAGGGCGCGACGCAGAUUGAGGAUUCCAGGUAUGUUUUCUGUUAAGGCCUUUGAGUAUGUCUAAUGUCACCUUUUCUUUUUUUUUCCAGCAGGACGCGACGCAGAUUGAAGAUUCGAAGGUAUGUUUUCUGUUAAGACCUUUGUGUAUGUCUAAUGUUGCCUUUUCUUUUUUUCUAGCAGGGCGCGACGCAGAUUGAGGAUUUUCAGGUAUGUUUUCUGUUAAGACCUUUGUGUAUGUCUAAUGUUGCCUUUUCUUUUUUUCUAGCAGGGCGCGACGCAGAUUGAGGAAUUCCAGGUAUGUUUUCUGUUAAGACCUUUGUGUAUGUCUAAUGUCGCCUUUUCUUUUUUUCUAGCAGGUCGCGACGCAGAUUGAGGAAUUCCAGGUAUGUUUUCUGUUAAGACCUUUGUGUAUGUCUAAUGUCGCCUUUUCUUUUUUUCUAGCAGGUCUUGACGCAGAUUGCCUUUAGGUCGU
rnacentral:lncRNA from 1 species